rnacentral:sRNA from 1 species
GCCAGGCGUGGUGGUGCACACCUAUAACCCAGCAGCUUGGGAGGCUGAGACAGGAGGAUUGCAAGUUCAAAGCCAGCCUCAGCAAUGGCAAGGUGCUAAGCAACUCAGUGAGACCCUGUCUCUA